UGGGGAAUUUUGGACAAUGGGCGCAAGCCUGAUCCAGCAAUGCCGCGUGCAGGAUGAAGGCCUUCGGGUUGUAAACUGCUUUUGUACGGAACGAAACGGCUCUGUCUAAUACAUGGGGCUAAUGACGGUACCGUAAGAAUAAGCACCGGCUAACUACGUGCCAGCAGCCGCGGUAAUACGUAGGGUGCAAGCGUUAAUCGGAAUUACUGGGCGUAAGGCGUGCGCAGGCGGUUAUAUAAGACAGAUGUGAAAUCCCCGGGCUCAACCUGGGACCUGCAUUUGUGACUGUAUAGCUAGAGUACGGUAGAGGGGGAUGGAAUUCCGCGUGUAGCAGUGAAAUGCGUAGAUAUGCGGAGGAACACCGAUGGCGAAGGCAGCCUCCUGGGCCAGUACUGACGCUCAUGCACGAAAGCGUGGGGAGCAAACA
rnacentral:rRNA from 1 species